UUUGGUACUGUUAGGUUGGUGCAAAAGUAAUUGCGGUUUUUACCAUUAAAAGUAAUGGUAGAAAUAGACUGUUAAUAGACUGAUAGACUGUUAAUAGUCUAUUACCUAGAAAACAUGGAACCCUG
rnacentral:miRNA from 1 species